rnacentral:tRNA from 1 species
GCCCAGGUAGCUCAGUCGGUAGAGCAGAGGAUUGAAAAUCCUCGUGUCGGCGGUUCGAUUCCGUCUCUGGGCACCA